AGGACCAUGUAUAGUAAGGUGUUUUUAGCCGAAAAAAAGGACCAUGUAUAGUAAGGCGUUUUUAGCCGAAAAAAACGACCAUUUAUAGUAAAGCGUUUUUGGACGAAAUUUUUAGCCGACAAAAACGACCAUGUAUAGUAAGGCGUUUUUAGCUGAAAAAAAAGGACCAUGUAUAGUAAGGCGUUUUUAGCUGAAAAAAAAGGACCAUGUAUAGUAAGGCGUUUUUUGCCGAAAAAAACGACCAUGUAUAGGAAGCCGUUUUUAGCCGAAAUAAACGGCCAUUUAUAGUAAGGCGUUUUUAGCCAAAAAAAACGACCAUGUAUAGUAAGGCGUUUUUAGCCGAAAAAAAGGACCAUGUAUAGUAAGCCGUUUUUAGCCGAAAAAAACGGCCACGUAUAGUAAGGCGUUUUUAGGCGAAAAAAACGACCAUGUAUAGUAAGGCGUUUUUAGCCGAAAAAAACGACCAUGUAUAGUAAGGCGUUUUUAGCCGAAAAAAACGACCAUGUAUAGUAAGGCGUUUUUAGCCGAAAAAAACGACCAUGCAUAGUAAGCCGUUUUUGGACGAAAUUUUUAGCCGACAAAAACGACCAUGUAUAGUAAGGCGUUUUUAGCCGACAAAAACGGCCAUGUAUAGUAAGGCGUUUUUAGCGGGAAAAAAAGGACCAUGUAUAGUAAGGCGUUUUUAGCCGAAAAAAAUGACCAUGUAUGGUAAGGCGUUUUUAGCCGAAAAAAACGACCAUGCAUAGUAAGCUGUUUUUAGCGGGAAAAAAAGGACCAUGUGUAGUAAGGCGUUUUUAGCCGAAAAAAACGACCAUGCAUAGUAAGCCGUUUUUGGACGAAAUUUUUAGCCGACAAAAACGACCAUGUAUAGUAAGGCGUUUUUAGCCGAAAAAACGACCAUGUAUAGUAAGCCGUUUUUAGCCGAAAAAAACGACCAUGUAUAGUAAGGCGUUUUUAGCCGAAAAAACGACCAUGUAUAUAAGGCGUUUUUAGCCGAAAAAACGACCAUGUAUAUAAGGCGUUUUUAGCCGAAAAAACGACCAUGUAUAGUAAGGCGUUUUUAUCGGAAAAAAAAGGACCAUGUAUAGUAAGGCGUUUUUAGCCGAAAAAAACGACCAUGUAUAGUAAGGCGUUUUUAGCGGGAAAAAAAGGACCAUGUAUAGUAAGGCGUUUUUAGCCGAAAAAAAUGACCAUGUAUGGUAAGGCGUUUUUAGCCGAAAAAAACGACCAUGCAUAGUAAGCCGUUUUUGGACGAAAUUUUUAGCCGACAAAAAUGACCAUGUAUAGUAAGGCGUUUUUAGCCGACAAAAACGACCAUGUAUAGUACGGCGUUUUUAGCCGAAAAAAACUACCAUGCAUAGUAAGCCGUUUUUAGCGGGGAAAAAAAGGACCAUGUGUAGUAAGGCGUUUUUAGCCGAAAAAAACGACCAUGCAUAGUAAGCCGUUUUUGGACGAAAUUUUUAGCCGACAAAAACGACCAUGUAUAGUAAGGCGUUUUUAGCCGACAAAAACGGCCAUGUAUAGUAAGGCGUUUUUAGCGGGAAAAAAAGGACCAUGUAUAGUAAGGCGUUUUUAGCCGAAAAAAACGACCAUGUAUAGUAAGGCGUUUUUAGCCGAAAAAAACGACCAUGCAUAGUAAGCCGUUUUUGGACGAAAUUUUUAGCCGACAAAAACGACCAUGUAUAGUAAGGCGUUUUUAGCGGGAAAAAAAGGACCAUGUCUAGUAAGGCGUUUUUAGCCGAAAAAAAUGACCAUGUAUAGUAAGGCGUUUUUAGCCGAAAAAAACGACCAUGCAUAGUAAGCCGUUUUUAGCGGGAAAAAAAGGACCAUGUGUAGUAAGGCGUUUUUAGCCGAAAAAAACGACCAUGCAUAGUAAGCCGUUUUUGGACGAAAUUUUUAGCCGACAAAAACGACCAUGUAUAGUAAGGCGUUUUUAGCCGAAAAAACGACCAUGUAUAGUAAGCCGUUUUUAGCCGAAAAAAACGACCAUGUAUAGUAAGGCGUUUUUAGCCGAAAAAACGACCAUGUAUAGUAAGGCGUUUUUAUCGGAAAAAAAAGGACCAUGUAUAGUAAGGCGUUUUUAGCCGAAAAAAACGACCAUGUAUAGUAGGCGUUUUUAGCCGAAAAAAACGACCAUGCAUAGUAAGCCGUUUUUGGACGAAA